rnacentral:rRNA from 1 species
GGGUAGCGGAACACGUACGCAACCUUCCCAAAACUGGUGAAUAGCCCUCCGAAAGGAGGAUUAAUACACCGUAAGAUGAUGAAGUGGCAUCACUUUAUUAUUAUAGCUCCGGCGGUUUUGGAUGGGCGUGCGCCUGAUUAGGUAGUUGGCGGGGUAACGGCCCACCAAGCCUGCGAUCAGUAACUGGUGUGAGAGCACGACCAGUCACACGGGCACUGAGACACGGGCCCG